rnacentral:SRP_RNA from 2 species
GCUGGGUGUGGUGGUGCAUGCCUGUAAUCCCAGCCACUGGGGAGGCUGAGGUGGGAGAAUUGCUUGAACCCAGGAGGCGGGGGUUGCAGUGAGCCAAGAUGGUGCCACUGCACUCCAGCCUGAGUGACAGAGUGAGACUCCAUCUCAA